AACGUUAAAAAAACUCACGGAACACCAUCAUUAGUUCACUGUCAUGGUUCAUAAUUACCAAAAGGAGCACGUGUCCCGUGUCACCAUCCCUUCAAAGGCAGGCUACAAGAAAAAAGGAAGAAGGGGUGUGUGGAAGGGUGUCAGGCGACCCAUGUCUCCCAUUUGGGUUUAUCGUGCGGGGCAUUGUGUUAUACGCGACCUAAGACAAGGUGUUUCGUUUCUCGGCUCGCUGACAAAGGGCAGCACCGGCACAACAAAGAAGAAGUCCGCGGCGAAUCGAAGACGCAAAAUGAAUAGCGGGAGCUGACCGAAGACCAGGCUACCCCGCCCUCUCUCGAGGAAUCGGCCGCUGGCGGAAUUCUUUCGGUGAGAAAAGACAGAAGGUGGACAGGAACGAGACGUAUCCCGCAGGACAGCCGGUGGAAAGGUCAAAGGAUUCUCCGGCUACCUGAGCAUCCUCCUCUGGUGUCAGGGGUGAACCUGCCAGCCAGUGGAAACACGAGGAAGCUGCCGUUUAAGGAAAACCACAAAUUUUGACCGGCCAACACAUGGCUGCCAAAGAAUAAUUCCGUGUGUCGUGAGGUGGGACCGUUCGGGAGGACCCCCGCUGAUCACCUUUGAAGAAUUCUCGGCUCUGGUACUCAUCGUCUCUCGGAUGCGCUUUCUAACUUUGAUAUAUGGAUUUUCGCGGACUGACGUCAUAGGAAGCUGAAAAUCGUAAAUAUGGCGUGGGUAAUGUAUUAGGAUGGAAAGUUUUUGGUGGUACAGUAAGGAGCAACGAGGUUUCCUUAGAGAAAAUACAGGGGUAGAAAACACUUACGAUAUGUUAUUUUAUUAAAUAUUUGAUAAUUGUU